AAAAACUACUUUACAGUGGUUUGUGAUGUUAAAAUAAGUCCCCGGUAUUUCCAUUAGGUACCAGAUGCCACCGUCAUGAGUCAAUCCUUCAUUCUCUGCCUCAUCCAUUCCCAAUCUGGCCAGACAGAGCUGGAAAAGUAAUGGACGUGGAGAACAUGAUACAAGAACAGUUCGAAAAACAAAUGCCUACACACCAAGCAGGACCUGUUAUAGCCCAUCCCUUAGGGAAGAACACACGUCUUUGGGACGUGGAAAAUCUGUGGAAACCCGUUAAUCCAGUCUUCUGCUUGGCCUGUGAUACAGUGUUCAUUGAUAGACAAAGACUCGAAGAGCAUGUGUGUCCUUUCGUCAGCUUCAUUUGUUCAUGUGGUGUUAGUUUUUGUGAUUAUACAGAAAUGUGGGCUCACAGUUCUUCACACAACCAUAAAGCCUCUUAUGUACUGAAUCACAAAAAUGCCAUGGAGAACAGGAUUAUUAGUGUUAAAGAGCAGGAAUCAAAGCUGAAGGUCUUAGAGGAGACUGCAAAGAACAUUGGCAUUGUUAAGGACACUGUUCCUUUUGUCCUUUCACCAGCUCCUAAGCCUAGGUACACAACCGGACAGACUGUAAAACUCUGGUGGCGUUUCAGGCCAAUUGUAAGGCUGGAGACUUUUCAGAGAUUUUACAAUGGAAGGAAGUAUAUGUGUGCAACUUGCCAUGAUGAGAUUGGCAGACAGGACCAGCUGAUUGAGCAUGUUGAUACUCACAGUAAGACCUGUAUAUAUGGCUGCAGCCACUGUGGGAUUCUAUUGAUCAGCAGUGUACCGCCGAAACCUCACCACAGGUGUGGGUCCUUUCAGGCCAGCCCUUCUAAAAGGUUCACCACUGGCCAGGUGCAAAUAGACCCUCUGUCAGCUGAGACCUUGUACAAGCCCUAUACUUGUCAGCAUUGCUCUUUGAAAUUUGGUCAUCCCAUACACCUCAGGAACCAUGUAAAAAUCAACCACAUCAACAUUACCAAAGUAAGAGGUGCAAACGGAGAGCAACAGACUUUGGACAACAUGCCAAAUAGGACCUCACAAAAAGUAAGUCUGGGGUAUGCACAGGUCUCUGUACAGUUGCCCAGACAGCACUGGUGCACAAGAAAGCAGACUUUAUUCAGGCCUGAGACUGUAGUACAGAUGGCCCCCAGUCAAGCUCAGCAAAGAUCAGAUCCAUAUGCGUCGGCGCAUAAUAAAGGGGGCAGUGAAAUGACCCUUCAGUUUCAAGACCUCAGCAACAUUAAGACAUAUGGUAACACAAACCUAUUGACAAUAAAAACUAAGCAGGUAGUAGUAAUUGAUAAGAUAACACAAACAGAAUUUUCCCCUAGUCUAUCUAUGAAAUCUGACCCUGAAUUACAUGACAAUGAAUAUGGAGUGGAAAAGACUACUGAAAUGAAUAGACUUCUGCAAGUCCCAAGUGCAGCCAUCCCAGUGCUAAAAAACUGAACCAACUGCUUUAGUACUAAUAAAAUCAGUAGUUUUACC
ensembl:lncRNA